rnacentral:rRNA from 1 species
GUUCCAGACUCCUACGGGAGGCAGCAGUAGGGAAUCUUUCACAAUGGGCGAAAGCCUGAUGGAGCAACGCCGCGUGCAGGAUGAAGGCCUUCGGGUUGUAAACUGCUUUUAUAAGCGAGAAAUAUGAUGGUAACUUAUGAAUAAGGAUCGGCUAACUACGUGCCAGCAGCCGCGGUAAUACGUAGGGGGCGAGCGUUAUCCGGAUUCAUUGGGCGUAAAGCGCGCGUAGGCGGCCUGUUAGGUCGGGGGUCAAAUACCGGGGCUCAACCCCGGUCCGCCCCCGAUACCGGCAGGCUUGAGUCUGGUAGGGGAAGGCGGAAUUCCCAGUGUAGCGGUGGAAUGCGCAGAUAUUGGGAAGAACACCGGCGGCGAAGGCGGCCUUCUGGGCCACGACUGACGCUGAGGCGCGAAAGCUAGGGGAGCGAACAGGAUUAGAUACCCGUGUA